GAACUAUACUAAUGGAACACCAGCUUCGAGAUUUUAUGAUCAGAGUGCCGUCGCGCAUCUUUUUUCGCGCACCAUACCAAUUUGAAAAAUCGAUGAGGAUGCCAAAGAAGAAAUUUACUCCGAGAGCCACUUGGAUUGACCUUCAUUGAGAGUAAAACUUCCCCACACUAUAUUUUAUUAGAUCUGUAAAAACUUUAUCCAUUUUCUGACUAUCUGAUAAAAUAGAUACAAUUUCCCUGAAUAAUGGAUCGUCACAAAAGAUUUUUUUUUAAGGCCACUUCGUUAAAAUAGGUGUUUCCAGUACUUCCUCAUUUGGGUAUUUUACACAAAAUCUGGAAUUUUUUUUAUGUACAUGUCAUUUUUAUCAUCUGUCCCGCGCAACCAAACCAUCCACUUUUCCCGGUCACCAAUGUUCUUAACAAGAUAUCAAGAGAGAGAGAGGCUGGUCCAUUAUUUGCGUAGUCCAGCCAGCUUUUUUUUUUUGACAACCUUUUUUCGUUCUCUCUCAUGAAGGAUAUGUUUGAAAAUUAGUCUUACAAAAUACAAUUCCAAACCAACUCAUGCAGUUAUCGUCUUUUCACAGUAUUGAGGAGUCAUCCUUUUUGCUAGCCAGAGUGUUAAUUGGCAAAAGUGAAAAAUUCAUUUUGUUUAAUUUUUUAAAACUUCACUUUCACAUCACAUUCACACGAUUAUUGAUACAGCUGAGACAGUGAAUGAAACGAAUGCAGUGGUUAUACUGAUUAUACUUAAAGUGACGAUACUACUUAUAGAUCUACCAGUUGAUAAACAUCAUCAUCAUAGAUAAUAAUCUACAUCUAUAAUCAUAGUGCCCUUUAUUUAGUCAAUAUAGUCAAGUCAAGAUAGUGGAAUGUAAACUCGAAGGUUUAAUACAAUACGUUAUUAACAAGUAGAACCAUGGCAACCAGUUCUGAUGAUGUACCAGAAUGGCUCAAGGAUCAUACUUAUACUAUUUAUACUCUCUGGGCAUCCAUUCAAUAUUUAAUUUAUGUUUGGAAAUGCAAGAAAAAGGCAUGCAUUCCUGAAAAGUCAAUGAUUGGUUGCAUCUCUUAAAGAUAACUUUCUGUUAUGAGAAAAGAUGAGAUUCUUGGACUCCUGCAUAGCACCACCAGAAAGGAAAAUCCCAUCAUGUUGCAAAAUAAAAGUCUUGGACCAAUUUUAAUUUAAGAUAUAUAUAUUAUACUGUAAGCUGUAUACAUAUUUAUGUAUAUCCUGUCAUUCAGCCAACAGGUUUGGAUUUAGUAUAUCUUUAAAUCUGUUUGAUAUUGUACUUGAAAACUAUUAAUCUGAGCCCCAUUAAAACAAGAGGGAGUGCAGUAGAUGAGUGGUAAGGGAAAUUUUACUUUUUUAAAAUUAAAAUAAGAAUCUAACAAAAGUUAACAUAUAAAAUAUGGUGCAUUCUCCUUAAAACUAAAACCUGGUGCAAAGAUUUAAAAUGUUGGCAAAAAAAAAAGCAACAUCAAUUAAAUAUUCUUAAUUCCCUUUGCAAAACUUACUGAGAAGAACAUGCAUGUUGUUCCCUCAUAAGUUUCUUGACAGAGGAAAUCUUGUUUAUAUUAGAUUUGAAUUAAGCAAAUUAAGAAAAAAUUUAUAAUCAUUUUUUCAAAUGGUUUUAUCUAAACCUUAUGAAUUAUUUUUCAGUUAUAAGUAUAUUGAAAUGAAUGGAUAAUCAUGAAAUCGUUAAAUAAUUGCUGCUAUCAUUCCAUUGACUAAAGAACCAUAAUUUUUUUUAAAAUUAAUUUCAAAAUGAUUUUUUUCAAGCAGAGUUCACAUAGAUCUUGAGUGAAAUUUUUCUUUUUUUGACUAAUGCUUCAAUUUUAUUGUAUCAUUAGUU